UGACCGAGUGGCUGGCCGUGCUGAGCCUGUACCGGUCGUGCACGAGGUCCCGCGACUCCCUCGCCGCCUCAGGCCCGCCGCCGCAGCCGCGCCGGUGCUCUCCCGCCUAAGCCCGGCGUCGAUGAGUACGUAGAGAGUUGGUGUGCGUGUGCACGUAUCGUCCUUCCUUCUUUUUUCUUCUUCUUGUUGGGUGUGUGUGUGGCUUGUGUUGAGUUCGUAUCGUACGUACGUAUACGUUCGUUGGCGCCCGAUCGUAGUUAGCGCCGAUGAAUUAGGAAUGUUGCUUGCGAAUUUGGUGACAAGACGCUGUAACUAAGGGUGUCUUUUCGUGUGUCGGUAUAUGCAUGUGCUUGCCUCAACAAUAAUUAAUGGAUAAUUCGGCACCAUUGAUUGAUUAGGCUGCUUUAGGCCAGUUGCCGAUUAAAGGAUUCUUCUAUAUUGUUGAUUAGAAGAUUCUUCUACUACUAUAAGUAUUGUUGAUUAAAGGAUUCAAUCAUGUUAGUUUUACACUUGGCAUUAUUACUUGCAUGUGGGUGGUGCAGUGCUGAUGCGUGUCUUCUACAGUUUCUCUUUUCCAGAAAAUGUGCUACGAGUACGCUAUUUGUGAUUUAGAGUGCAUGCACUAUCACGGUCAAGCGGGCCACGACUGUUGCAAGCAGGAUAUGAUUAUGGAGCACAUGUUACUAUAUUAUUGUCUUCUCUUUUUUAUACUUCCUCCGUUUCUAAAUAUAAGUCUUUUAAAGGUUUCACUAAUUGACUAUAUACGGAUGCAUAUAGACAUACUAUUAUAAAGUGUAGAUUCAUUCAUUUUACUCCGUAUAUAGACCCUUAGUGAAAUCUUUUAAAAGACUUAUCUUUAGAAAUGGAGAGAGUAUGCUUCAUGGUUUUGUAGGGAAGAAACAGUAAACAAAUGUCCUACUGUAUUAGUAUUAUUUUUUUGGGAUGCCCCACCGUAUAAGUCUACUCAAUAUAGUAUUAUAUAAAAUCAAAGUAAAUAUUUUUCAUGUGUUCAACGAAAAAAUAAAUACUACCACAUAGACAUGCGGUUAGCUAACUCAAAAUUCACAUAGAAAAAAGUAAGUACUUACAUACUGACAUAAAGAAAGAAGAGGAGUUAAAUAAAAUGAUAUUCAGAGGUGGGUAGGUUUUUUGCACAAAGGCUAAUAUAUUAAUAUCAAGACUAUACCAAAUUCACUCCGUCUUCACAACGACACAAUAUCAAGAGCUAGUCAAAACAUUAAGGUGUGUAGGUUUAUUAAUUAAAUAACAAUUACAUUGUCCAUAUUAUGCUAGUAGUAUUAUCAUCUCGUAUCUUACAGAUUUGGCAGUGGCCACUUGCGUAGGAGAUGAUUAAUCAUUGCUUUAUUCUUUGAAGUAUCUUGUUGUGGCAAGUAUGAACAAUGAGUUAUUGGAUCAUGCAUAGGGUGAUUUGGGUUUUGUCCCGUCAGUUCACCCUGUCUGACACAUAUUUGUCUGCCUGGACCAAUGGCUACAAGAAUAUAGGUGAACAUGUUCGCAAACAUCCGCAAAAGCAAAAGUAACCGAUUCAAUUUUGCUUUACAAAAACACACAGACACAGAGUUCGCAUACAACAAUUGAAUGGCUUGGCGUAGAAAACAGAGUACUGAGUAAGCUGCGGUAACAGAAGCUCCAAGGCCCACAUGUCUGUGAAAUAAAAUGACAUUUUUUGAAGUCGUGAGUUUCGACUUUACUACUCGCUCCGUUCCAUAAUAUAAAAACAUUUUUCAUAUUAAUAUAAUGUUAAAAUAUUUUUAUGAUAUGAGUGAGAGAGUAUAUAGUAACAAAAUAACUAAGCGAGACAUCAGCCGUCACAUGUACUCCCUCCGUAAACUAAUAUAAAAGCAUUUAGAAUACUACUCCGUAUUUUAGUAAUCUAAACGCUUUUAUAUUAGUUUAGAGAUGGAGUAGAUGGUAAGGGCGCGCUGGGCGAGUCACGGCGAUGGUGGCCACGCCCCACGAGAGGUGAGAGGUGUUUCCAAAUCUGCUGCGGGUACGUACAGCAGGUGAACUUUUUGCGCGGCCGGUUGCCCGGGCGAAAAGCAUGAUGAGAAGCUUGACCUUUCCCUUUUGCCACGCACGGCCGGGAGCCUUUUCGUCGGUUGAUGUAUGCAUGCGUAAAUUAAAUAUGUAAUGGAGUAAUAUGCACAAGACUAGCAAGCGAAGAGGAAUAUGAUAUGUUUGUUUUUUUUCUGCCAGGGAAGAAGAAUAUGAUUGCAGGCGCUACAGGUCAAUACCGCGACCAGAAAAAAAAAUGCGCUAACGACAUCAGUGCUGGUGUCAGUCGAAUCAAAGUGAUAUCUGGGUGGAUCGGGGGUGGGGACGCCACCUUAAACCAGCUGCGACAUUUUUAUUAUGGCUGACAGUGGUUCAGGUGAUGGCGUAACGACGGCCCCGUGCGUAACCGUAAACGAUACUCUCUCCGUUUCAUACUACCACAAGUAUUUGUCGUGGUUUUAGUUCAAAGAAUUAUCAAGCAGAGUGAGUACGAUACUACUACUCACCAUGAGAAGAAUACUAUGACGGGCGGGCACCAAUCAGCAUAUAAUUGAUAAUUCGCGCCAUCGCCAUGGAAAAUUCUAGUACUGGCAGUGGUUGGGGAGUUGGUAAAAGUUAGUAAUCCGUCCUCUGGUGACCCGACGUUUACCAAACCGUUUUGACCGCGUUGGGAGGAUGGUGGCUCGGUACGGAAGCGUCGUCAGCCGUGCACUCGCUCCUCCGGCCGAUGUGAGCGUAGUUUACUCUCCCUCUUCCUCGUUUGAGAUGUGG
rnacentral:lncRNA from 1 species